rnacentral:rRNA from 1 species
GCAGUCGAGCGAACUGAUUAGAAGCUUGCUUCUAUGACGUUAGCGGCGGACGGGUGAGUAACACGUGGGCAACCUGCCUGUAAGACUGGGAUAACUUCGGGAAACCGAAGCUAAUACCGGAUAGGAUCUUCUCCUUCAUGGGAGAUGAUUGAAAGAUGGUUUCGGCUAUCACUUACAGAUGGGCCCGCGGUGCAUUAGCUAGUUGGUGAGGUAACGGCUCACCAAGGCAACGAUGCAUAGCCGACCUGAGAGGGUGAUCGGCCACACUGGGACUGAGACACGGCCCAGACUCCUACGGGAGGCUGCAGUAGGGAAUCUUCCGCAAUGGACGAAAGUCUGACGGAGCAACGCCGCGUGAGUGAUGAAGGCUUUCGGGUCGUAAAACUCUGUUGUUAGGGAAGAACAAGUACAAGAGUAACUGCUUGUACCUUGACGGUACCUAACCAGAAAGCCACGGCUAACUACGUGCCAGCAGCCGCGGUAAUACGUAGGUGGCAAGCGUUAUCCGGAAUUAUUGGGCGUAAAGCGCGCGCAGGCGGUUUCUUAAGUCUGAUGUGAAAGCCCACGGCUCAACCGUGGAGGGUCAUUGGAAACUGGGGAACUUGAGUGCAGAAGAGAAAAGCGGAAUUCCACGUGUAGCGGUGAAAUGCGUAGAGAUGUGGAGGAACACCAGUGGCGAAGGCGGCUUUUUGGUCUGUAACUGACGCUGAGGCGCGAAAGCGUGGGGAGCAAACAGGAUUAG